UCACAUGUAAAUCAUUCAAAUUAUAAUAAAAGAAAAAUUUCUCUUAAUUAUUUGUUCAUAUAUAAAUCACUAAAAUUAGAAUAAAAAUAAAAAAUUUCUAUAAAUGUUAAGCAUAACUACAAAUAGAGAAAGUGCUGAUACUGUCAUUAAUUGUGUAUACAUACAGAGUAUAUAAACAACUAUAUAACUUGGGAUAAUGCAUUAUGGGUCCCUCUUCGGCCAUAUAAAGGUGUUCAAAGAAGGUGGAGACCAUUAUCUGAAGUUGGCCUUCAUCGAUACUCCAAAUAAAAAAUGUCUUUAAAUGUUAAGCAUAUCUACAGAUAGAGAAAGUGCUAAUAUUGUUAUUAAUUGUGUAUGCAUAUUGAGUAUGUAGACAACUAUAUAAAUUGAUUCAUCUAAAUAUUAAUUACUUGCUCACAUGUAAAUCAUUCAAAUUAUAAUAAAAGAAAAUUUUCUCUUAAUUAUUUGUUCAUAUAUAAAUCACUAAAAUUAGAAUAAAAAUAAAAAAUUUCUACAAAUGUUAAGCAUAUCUACAAAUAGAGAAAGUGUUGAUAUUAUCAUUAAUUGUGUAUAUAUACAGAGUAUGUAGACAAUUAUAUAACUUGGGGUACUGCAGUAUGAGUCCUUUUUCGGUCGUAUAAAGGUGUUCAAAGAAGGUGGAGACCAUUAUCUGAAGUCGGCCUUCAUCAAUACUCCAAAUAAAAAAUAUCUUUAAAUGUUAAGC
rnacentral:lncRNA from 1 species